GCCUGACUAGCUCAGUCGGUAGUACAUGAGACUCUUAAUCUCAGGGUUGUUGGUUUGAGCCCCACAUUGGACG